AGAAUCAACGCUGGCGGCGUGCCUCAGACAUGCAAGUCGAACGAUUAAAGCUCCCUUCGGGGAGUGUAUAAAGUGGCGCACGGGUGAGUAACACGUAAGUAAUCUGCCUUUGAGUGGGGAAUAACAUCGGGAAACCGAUGCUAAUACCGCAUAAUGCAGCGGCACCGCAAGGUGACAGUUGUUAAAGGAGCAAUCCGACUUAAAGAGGAGCUUGCGGCAGAUUAGCUAGUUGGUAAGUAAUGGCUUACCAAGGCUACGAUCUGUAUCCGGUACUAAGGACGGUACGGUACGGACACUACUGACUACGUAGUAAACGUACCGGGU
rnacentral:rRNA from 1 species